CUCUUUGGAGGCAGAGACUGGAACAGGAAGGUCCUUUAUCAUAUUUUAUUGACUACUGAGAACAGAAUGUCCCCUCACAUCCAAUAUGGUAUCAGCCCUGACAUCUCUUAAAUACAGGUUCCAGCGACAGGGCUAUUGAGUGACUUCACUGCAAUCAGUAUUGCUGACUAAUGCCUGUAUCAACACCUACCGCCGCCACCACCGGCGCUUCAGUGAUUUUAUGUUCAGUUUGAUUUCUCCAGACAGAACUUUUCCACAUCAUUGGAACUAAUUGAGAAAAUAACAAGAGGAAGAAUUCGUCUUCAUGAAUUGAAUUGUCAGUUCUGCAGACAAUUAUCAAAAAUUUUACAGGAACACCUUGAGAGAUGUCGAAGUGUUUAUUUCAACAGCCCAAAGAAGAGAACCACAAUAUGGACACUCUCUGUCUUCACAAAUCCCCCAACGCAUGUUUUAUUCAACCUUCCAAUUUUUAGACAAAGAUUCUUGUUAGCCUCAUGAAAGACCUGGAUACUGGGGGAAAGAUGGUAUCAUAUUUUCAAUUAUGAUCAACUCACCUAAUCUGACGGAAGUGGUAAGAAGGAAGCUGGUGUGUAUGCUGAUUGUGAUUUUGAGAAUAAACUCUUACUUCUAAACCA
ensembl:lncRNA ROCR regulator of chondrogenesis RNA